UUUCCGUAGGUGAACCUGCGGAAGGAUCAUUAUGAAUUUACCCAACCAACCAACCUGUGCGAAUGUUGCGUGGUGCCCGGGAGCGAUCCCGGGCGCCGCUGCGCACGUCCUACACACACGAUGUCGAUUGUCAGAGGUACGUAUCGCGCUAACACGCAAACAACUUUUAACAAUGGAUCUCUUGGCUCUU
rnacentral:misc_RNA from 1 species